GAAGCUGGAAGAUGUGGCUGACACGAACUACUUUUCAGUGAAUAAUGAAGGAGAGAUCUGCAUCAAGGGUACAAAUGUGUUCAAAGGAUACCUGAAGGACCCUGAGAAGACACAGGAAGCCCUGGACAGUGAUGGCUGGCUUCACACAGGAGACAUUGGUCGCUGGCUCCCGAAUGGAACUCUGAAGAUCAUCGACCGUAAAAAGAACAUUUUCAAGCUGGCCCAAGGAGAAUACAUUGCGCCAGAGAAGAUAGAAAAUAUCUACAACAGGAGUCAACCAGUGUUACAAAUUUUUGUACAUGGGGAGAGCUUACAGUCAUCCUUAGUAGGAGUGGUGGUUCCUGACACAGAUGUACUUCCCUCAUUUGCAGCCAAGCUUGGGGUGAAGGGCUCCUUCGAGGAACUGUGCCAAAACCAAGUAAGUCUUGCCUAGGAAAGCUUUAUGCACACCCAUGGGCCCAUCAUGGAGGGAUGCCUCACCAGUUCCUGCAUCUGUCACAAGUGGCUGCAGCCCAAACAGACUGAAUAGUUUUAUGAGACUUGGGGAUAGAAUGGAGAGUUUAAAAAAUAAAACUCUCUUUUCUAUUUAAAAUAAUAUGUUCAUUGUGGGAAAAGAUUGGGAAAGAAGAGUAAAAAUGCUAUUCAGAGAAAACUGUUAACACU
rnacentral:sRNA from 1 species